rnacentral:rRNA from 1 species
UAGGGAAUCUUCGGCAAUGGGGGGAACCCUGACCGAGCAACGCCGCGUGAGUGAAGAAGGUUUUCGGAUCGUAAAGCUCUGUUGUUAAGGAAGAACGAGUGUGAGAAUGGAAAGUUCAUACUGUGACGGUACUUAACCAGAAAGGGACGGCUAACUACGUGCCAGCAGCCGCGGUAAUACGUAGGUCCCGAGCGUUGUCCGGAUUUAUUGGGCGUAAAGCGAGCGCAGGCGGUUAGAUAAGUCUGAAGUUAAAGGCGGUGGCUCAACCAUUGUAGGCUUUGGAAACUGUUUAAGUUGAGUGCAGAGGGGGGGGGUGUAAUUCCAUGUGUAGCGGUGAAAUGCGUAGAUAGAUGGAGGAACACCGGUGGCGAAGGCGGCUCUCUGGUCUGUAACUGACGCUGAGGGUCGAAAGCGUGGGGAGCGAACAGG